rnacentral:lncRNA from 1 species
UCUCGACUCACCGCGGCCUCCACCUCCCGGGUUUAGGUGGUUCUCCUGCCUCAGCCUCCUGAGUGUCUGGGAUUGCAGGCAUGAGCCACCAUGCCAGCUAAUUUUGGUUUUAUUUUUUUGGUACAGACGGGGUUUCUCCGUGUUGGUCAGGCUGAUCUCGAGCUCCUGACCUCGAGUGAUACGCCCGCCUCCGCCUCCCUGGGUGCUGGGAUUGCAGGCGUGAGCCACCGCGCCCCCGGUCCAAUUUAGUAACCAGAAAGGAAUAGAUCUGCCUGGCGUGGUGCCUCCCCCUUGUGAUCCCAGGACUUUGGAAGGCCGAGUGUGGCAGAUCGCUUGAGCCUAGGAGUUCCAGACCGCCUGGGCAACAUGGUGAAACCCGGUCUCUGUUUUGAGACGGAGUUUCACCCUUGUUGUCCAGGCUGGAGUGCAAUGGUGUGAUCUUUGCCCACCGCAACCUCGGCCUCCCGGAUUUAGGUGAUUCUCCUGCCUGGGCCUCCCUAGUAGCUGGGAUUACAGGCAUGAGCCACCAUAUCCGGCUAAUUUUGUAGUUUUUUUCUUUUUUUUAGUAGAGACGGGAUUUCUUCAUGUUGGUCAGGCUGGUCUCCGACCUCGGGUGAUCCGCCCACCUCUGCCUUCCAAAGUGCUGGGAUUGCAGGCCUGAGCCACUGCGCCCGACGGAAACCCAGAACGGAAAACAAAACAAAAACCACAAAGAUUAGCCGGGUGUGGUGGGCCGCGCAGGUAGUCCCAGCUACUCUGAAGGCUGAUGGAGGAGGAUUGCUUCACCCCGGCUUCUAGGUGGCAGUGAGCUAUGAUGGCGCUGCUGCACUCCAGACUGGGCGACAGAGCGGGACUCUGUG